AUGUGUCUCAUAAUUUUCCUCUUCCUUGUAUCACAGAACCAAAAAAAAAAAAAUGAAAACAGAAAGAAAAGGCGGAGAGGGGAUGAACACGACAUCCAGAAAUGGAGUUCACGGUGGCGGUCGGCCAGAGCUCGCGGCGGCGCCACCAUGAAACGUCUGAUUUGUAAUUUUUUUACAAUUUUGAUUUGGAUUCCUCUCCUUUUUUCGAAUUCGAAACUAUUUUUCUCAAAAACUCCACCAUUUUCACAAGAUCUACAAAAGUGUUUCGAAAAUAUUUUUGUUCCAAACAACAACAACAAUCAUAGAAAUGUAAAGAAGAGGGUAGAUUAA